rnacentral:rRNA from 1 species
CCUACGGGGAGCUGCAGUGGGGAAUAUUGGACAAUGGGCGAAAGCCUGAUCCAGCCAUGCCGCGUGUGUGAAGAAGGCCUUCGGGUUGUAAAGCACUUUCAGUGGGGAAGAAAGCCUUGGGGCUAAUACCCUCGAGGAAGGACAUCACCCACAGAAGAAGCACCGGCUAACUCCGUGCCAGCAGCCGCGGUAAUACGGAGGGUGCGAGCGUUAAUCGGAAUUACUGGGCGUAAAGCGCGCGUAGGCGGUCUGAUAAGCCGGUUGUGAAAGCCCCGGGCUCAACCUGGGAACGGCAUCCGGAACUGUCAGGCUAGAGUGCAGGAGAGGAAGGUAGAAUUCCCGGUGUAGCGGUGAAAUGCGUAGAGAUCGGGAGGAAUACCAGUGGCGAAGGCGGUCUUCUGGACUGACACUGACGCUGAGGUGCGAAAGCGUGGGUAGCAAACAGGAUUAGAUACCCGUGUAGUC